GAUGAACGCUGGCGGCGUGCCUAAUACAUGCAAGUCGAGCGAAACGGGGACGGGUGAGUAACACGUAUCUAACCUCCUAUAAGACUGGGAUAACUUCAGGAAACCUGAUCUAAACCUGAUACUUAUUGAUGGAACCUCGAUGUAUUAGCUAAUUGGUAAGGUAACGGCUUACAAAGGCAACGAUGCAUAGCCGACCUGAGAGGGUGAUCGGCCACACUGGAACUGAGACACGGUACAGACUCCUACGGGAGGGAGCAGUAGGGAAUCUUCCGCAAUGGGCGAAAGCCUGACCGAGCCACGCCGCGUGUGUGAUGAAGGUUUUCGGAUAGUAAAGCUCUUUUAUUAGGGAAGCGGUACCUAAUCAGAAAGCCCCGGAUAACUACGUGCCAGCAGCCGCGGUAAUUC
rnacentral:rRNA from 1 species